AAGGAGUCUAUCAUAUGUGCGAGUAUUUGGGUGUCAAACCCACAUUCGUAAUUAAAGUGACUGUUGGUAACUUUUUGUGCACCAUCGACCGGUCAAUCAAUUUAUUGAUCGAACCGAGUAAGAGCGCAUAUGCUAGGACCCGAAAGAUGGUGAACUAUGCCUGAAAAGGGUGAAGCCAGAGGAAACUCUGGUGGAGGCUCGUAUGGGUUCUGACGUGCAAAUCGAUCGUCAAAUUUGGGUAUAGGGGCGAAAGACUAAUCGAACCAUCUAGUAGCUGGUUCCCCC
rnacentral:misc_RNA from 1 species